UACGGAGGGUGCAAGCAUUAAUCGGAUUUAUUGGGCUUAAAGGGCGCGUAGGCGGGCCAGCAAGUCAGAUGUGAAAUCCCGGAGCUCAACUCCGGAACAGCAUUUGAAACUACCGGUCUUGAGGGUAGGCGGAGAAAACGGAAUUCCACAAGUAGCGGUGAAAUGCGUAGAUAUGUGGAAGAACAUCGGUGGCGAAGGCGGUUUUCUAGCUUAUAACCUGACGCUGAGGCGCGAAAGCAAGGGGAUCAAACAGG
rnacentral:rRNA from 1 species